rfam:Myotis lucifugus cont2.14630, whole genome shotgun sequence.
GGCAGUUCUCGGGUGACACACCCCAGAAUUGGGUUCCCUCCUCUUUGGUUCCAGGGUGCAUCACCCAAGCACCUCC